rnacentral:piRNA from 1 species
UGUCAUUGAAAAUGCAUUGUCUCAUGA